CUGUGCUGUGAACAUCUUCCCCAAGUACCUGCAAGGUCAGUGCGUGGGGAUGGUCAGACUGGUGCUCAAGACUCUCUACGGGCUCUCCGAGAGGCUCAAAAUGGCAAGAAAGAUCCUCACCCUGAUGCCAAAGAUCGUGGCGUGCCUGCAGGAUACUGACAGCGAUGCCGUGACCAUGGCCAUCCUUGUGCUCAACAACUUACUCCCGCUGCUGGAGGAGAAGACACUCGGCUUCCGUGCCCUUGCCAUUGCUCUCAAGCUCCGGUUGCUCUUUGACAAUGAGUCAGACACUGUGAGGCAGCUCUCCAUCUGCUUAUUCCAAUAGGUGAUGGGGCUUGUGACAGAUGCUGAAAAGAAGAAGAUGAAGAAGGAGGUGUGGGAGACCCUGGUGCCACUGCUCUUUCACCUGCAGUACCAG